rnacentral:tmRNA from 1 species
GGGGUUGACUGGUUUUGACAGCGUGUAGAAGUGGUGGGUAAGCGUGCGGAGCUUUGAAGUCUACGCUCCUUAAUAUCAGGCUUUAGCAAUUUUAAAUGGCGAAAAUAACUACGCUCUUGCUGCCUAAUCGAAGCACAGUAGAUUACGCUUAAUCGCCGCAACAGUUGCAGCGACAAGACAUCGCCCGAUUGUCCUUUUUCCGAGACUAAUCGACAAGGCGGUGCAGGUAAAUCGGAAAUAGGAAGCCGAGUUCCUCGCGAGGCGUCCGAAAAUUUAGAGGAUAAGGUUACGGUUGGUAGUUUCAGGCCUGCCAUAACUCGAAAAUCAACUUGAGACUACGCACGUAGAAAGCUCAUUAGUUCCACGUUUGGACGAGGGUUCGAAUCCCUCCAGCUCCACUA